rnacentral:rRNA from 1 species
UACGAAGGGGGCUAGCGUUGUUCGGAAUUACUGGCGUAAAGCGCGUGUAGGCGGGUCUUUAAGUCAGGGGUGAAAUGCCAGGGCUCAACCUUGGAACUGCCUUUGAUACUGGAGACCUUGAGUCCGGGAGAGGUGAGUGGAAUUGCGAGUGUAGAGGUGAAAUUCGUAGAUAUUCGCAAGAACACCAGUGGCGAAGGCGGCUCACUGGCCCGGAACUGACGCUGAGACGCGAAAGCGUGGGGAGCAACAGG